AUUGAACGCUGGCGGCAGGCCUAACACAUGCAAGUCGAGCGAGCGGCGGACGGGUGAGUAAUGUAUGGGGACUGCCCGAAAGAGGGGGAUAACUACUGGAAACGGUAGCUAAUACCGCAUACGAUCGGAUAACCCAUAUGGGAUUAGCUAGUAGGUGAGUUAAUGGCUCACCUAGGAGAAGAACUCUAGCUGGUCUUAGAGGAUUAUCAGCCACACUGGGACUGAGACACGGCCCAGACUCCUACGGAGGCAGCAGUUGGGAAUAUUGCACAAUGGGCGCAAGCCUGACGCAGCCAUGCCGCGUGUAUGAAGAAGGCCCUAGGGUUGUAAAGUACUUUCAGUAGGGAGGCGUUACCGACAGAAGAAGCACCGGCUAACUCCGUGCCAGCCGCCGCGGUAAUUC
rnacentral:rRNA from 1 species